rnacentral:rRNA from 1 species
UACGGAGGGUGCAAGCGUUAUCCGGAUUCACUGGGUUUAAAGGGUGCGUAGGCGGGUAUAUAAGUCAGUGGUGAAAGCUCCGGGCUUAACUUGGAAACUGCCAUUGAUACUGUAUAUCUUGAAUAUCGUAGAGGUUAGCGGAAUGUUGCAUGUAGCGGUGAAAUGCUUAGAUAUGUUACAGAACACCAAUUGCGAAGGCAGCUAACUAUGCGAAAAUUGACGCUGAGGCACGAAAGCGUGGGGAGCAAACAGG